GACGAACGCUGGCGGCGUGCUUAACACAUGCAAGUCGAACGGAAAGGCCCUGCUGUGGUGGGGUGCUCGAGUGGCGAACGGGUGAGUAACACGUGAGUAACCUGCCCUUGACUUUGGGAUAACUUCAGGAAACUGGGGCUAAUACCGGAUAGGAGCUCCUGCUGCAUGGUGGGGGUUGGAAAGUUUCGGCGGUUGGGGAUGGACUCGCGGCUUAUCAGCUUGUUGGUGGGGUAGUGGCUUACCAAGGCUUUGACGGGUAGCCGGCCUGAGAGGGUGACCGGCCACAUUGGGACUGAGCUACGGCCCAGACUCCUACGGGAGGCAGCAGUGGGGAAUAUUGCACAAUGGGCGGAAGCCUGAUGCAGCAACGCCGCGUGCGGGAUGACGGCCUUCGGGUUGUAACCCGCUUUCGCCUGUGACGAAGCGUGAGUGACGGUAAUGGGUAAAGAAGCACCGGCUAACUACGUG
rnacentral:rRNA from 1 species